GCAGCAGAACGGUCUGUCGCUCUUUCGGUAUAGAAAGGGAGGAAAGUCCGGGCAACACAGAGCACCAUGCUUCCUAACGGGAAGGAGUUCGCGAGGGCUGAGUAGCGUAACAGAGAAUAACCGCCACGGUUCGCCGCGGUAAGGGUGAAAAGGUGGGGUAAGAGCCCACCGGUCGGGGCAGCAAUGUCACGAGCCGUACGCCUCAUGGGUUGAAAGAUCAUGUAUACCGACGCACGUAGGGCUGCUCGCCCGAUGUCGGGGGGUAGAUCGAUAGAGCUGCGUAGUGAUACGCAGUCGAGACAAAUGGCAGACAUUCCGCUUCGGUGGAGUACAGAACCCGGCUUAUAGGUCUGCUGCAUUU
rnacentral:RNase_P_RNA from 1 species